UAACAGAAAGUAGCUUGCUACUUUGCUGACGAGCGGCGGACGGGUGAGUAAUGCUUGGGAACAUGCCUUGAGGUGGGGGACAACAGUUGGAAACGACUGCUAAUACCGCAUAAUGUCUACGGACCAAAGGGGGCUUUUAGCUCUCGCCUUUAAAUUGGCCCAAGUGGGAUUAGCUAUUUGGUGAGGUAAUGGCUCACCAAGGCGACGAUCCCUAGCUGGUUUGAGAGGAUGAUCACCCACACUGGAACUGAGACACGGUCCAGACUCCUACGGGAGGCAGCAGUGGGGAAUAUUGCACAAUGGGCGCAAGCCUGAUGCACCCAUGCCGCGUGUGUGAAAAAGGCCUUCGGGUUGUAAAGCACUUUCAGUCAGGAGGAAAGGUUAACAGUUAAUACCCGUUAGCUGUGACGUUACUGACAGAAAAAGCACCGGCUAACUCCGUGCCAGCACCCGCGGUAAUACGGAGGGUGCGAGCGUUAAUCGGAAUUACUGGGCGUAAAGCGUACGCAGGCGGUUUGUUAAGCGAGAUGUGAAACCCCCGGGCUCAACCUGGGAACUGCAUUUCAAACUGGCAAACUAAAGUGUGAUAGAGGGUGGUAAAA
rnacentral:rRNA from 1 species